GCGGGUUCUUCCUUUGCCUCACUCUCGUGAAACAGAAAUCGAAUGGGCCCCUUGUUUUCAUCAUUGGACUGAUUCGAAGGGUUGUUAGGACAUGCGUUCCACUCUUCUUCACCAUCAUGUGUUUCUACGUGGUACCGCUUUUUGCCACUGGACCAGACACCAAGUCAUUCUUUUUAAAGCUUUACGACGACGUAGCGGAGAACUGGUGGCGCUUCCUUCUUCAGAUCAGAAAUUUCUUCGAGCUGACCCCGCAGACCGUGCUCGGCCAUACGUGGUACCUUUCAGCAGACUUCCAGCUUUUCGUCAUCUCGCUUCUCACGCUGCUAUUUUU
rnacentral:lncRNA from 1 species